rnacentral:rRNA from 1 species
GACGAACGCUGGCGGCGUGCUUAACACAUGCAAGUCGAGCGGUAAGGCCCUUUUGGGGGUACACGAGCGGCGAACGGGUGAGUAACACGUGGGUGACCUGCCCUCAGCUCUGGGAUAAGCCUGGGAAACUGGGUCUAAUACUGGAUAUGACCUUUCCUCGCAUGGGGGUUGGGUGGAAAGUUUUUCGGCUGGGGAUGGGCCCGCGGCCUAUCAGCUUGUUGGGUGGGGUGAUGGCCUACCAAGGCGACGACGGGUAGCCGGCCUGAGAGGGCGACCGGCCACACUGGGACUGAGACACGGCCCAGACUCCUACGGGAGGCAGCAGUGGGGAAUAUUGCGCAAUGGGCGGAAGCCUGACGCAGCGACGCCGCGU